rnacentral:rRNA from 1 species
GAUGAACGCUAGCUACAGGCUUAACACAUGCAAGUCGAGGGGUAACGAGAGGGAAGCUUGCUUUCCUUGUCGACGACCGGCGCACGGGUGAGUAACGCGUAUCCAACCUGCCCCCAACUAGGGAAUAACCUUGCGAAAGUAAGACUAAUACCCUAUAAUCUCCUCAGAUGUCAUCUGACGAGGAAUAAAGAUUUAUCGGUUGUGGAUGGGGAUGCGUCUGAUUAGCUUGUUGGCGGGGUAACGGCCCACCAAGGCAACGAUCAGUAGGGGUUCUAAGAGGAAGGUCCGCCACAUUGGAACUGAGACACGGUCCAAACUCCUACGGGAGGCAGCAGUGAGGAAUAUUGGUCAAUGGGCGGAAGCCUGAACCAGCCAAGUAGCGUGCAGGAUGACGGCCCUAUGGGUUGUAAACUGCUUUUAUACAGGAAUAAAGUUAGCCACGUGUGGUUAUUUGUAGGUACUGUAUGAAUAAGGACCGGCUAAUUCCGUGCCAGCCGCCGCGGUAA